GCGAGUAGCGCAGCUUGGUAGCGCAACUGGUUUGGGACCAGUGGGUCGGAGGUUCGAAUCCUCCCGGAUGCACCA
rnacentral:tRNA from 1 species